AGGAUGAACGCUGGCGGCGUGCUUAACACAUGCAAGUCGAACGAAGCAACUAUCUUGCUUGCAAGAGAGUUGACUUAGUGGCGGACGGGUGAGUAACGCGUGGGUAACCUGCCUCAUACGGGGGGAUAACAGUUGGAAACGACUGCUAAGACCGCAUAACCCGCUAGUGUCGCAUGACACGGACGGAAAAUAUUUAUAGGUAUGAGAUGGGCCCGCGUCUGAUUAGCUAGUUGGUAAGGUAACGGCUUACCAAGGCGACGAUCAGUAGCCGACUUGAGAGAGUGAUCGGCCACAUUGGGACUGAGACACGGCCCAAACUCCUACGGGAGGCAGCAGUGGGGAAUAUUGGACAAUGGGGGAAACCCUGAUCCAGCGACGCCCGCGUGAGUGAAGAAGUAUUUCGGUAUGUAAAGCUCUAUCAGCAGGGAAGAUAAUGACAGUACCUGACUAAGAAGCCCCGGCUAACUACGUGCCAGCAGCUGC
rnacentral:rRNA from 1 species